GAUGAAGAACGCAGCGAAAUGCGAUACGUAAUGUGAAUUGCAGAAUUCAGUGAAUCAUCGAGUCUUUGAACGCACAUUGCGCCCCCUGGUAUUCCGGGGGGCAUGCCUGUCCGAGCGUCAUUGCUGCCCUCAAGCACGGCUUGUGUGUUGGGCCUCCGUCCUCCUCCCGGGGGACGGGCCCGAAAGGCAGCGGCGGCACCGCGUCCGGUCCUCGAGCGUAUGGGGCUUCGUCACCCGCUCUUGUAGGCCCGGCCGGCGCUUGCCGACACAUCAAUCUUUUUUCCAGGUUGACCUCGGAUCAGGUAGAGAUACCCGCUGAACUUAAGCAUAUCAAUAAGCGGAGGA
rnacentral:misc_RNA from 1 species